GUGACCGUAGCUCAGUUGGUUAGAGCCCCAGUUUGUGGAACUGGUUGUCGCGGGUUCGAAUCCCGUCGGUCACC
rnacentral:tRNA from 1 species